UGGGGAAUAUUGCACAAUGGGCGAAAGCCUGAUGCAGCAACGCCGCGUGAGUGAUGAAGGCCUUCGGGUUGUAAAGCUCUGUCUUUUGGGACGAUAAUGACGGUACCAAAGGAGGAAGCCACGGCUAACUACGUGCCAGCAGCCGCGGUAAUACGUAGGUGGCAAGCGUUGUCCGGAUUUACUGGGCGUAAAGGAUGCGUAGGCGGAUUUUUAAGUGAGAUGUGAAAUACCCGGGCUUAACUUGGGUGCUGCAUUUCAAACUGGGAAUCUAGAGUGCGGGAGAGGAGAAUGGAACUCCUAGUGUAGCGGUGAAAUGCGUAGAGAUUAGGAAGAACACCAGUGGCGAAGGCGAUUCUCUGGACCGUAACUGACGCUGAGGCAUGAAAGCGUGGGUAGCAAACAGGAUUAGAUACCCUGGUAGUCCACGCCGUAAACGAUGAGUACUAGGUGUAGGAGGUAUCGACCCCUUCUGUGCCGCAGUUAACACAAUAAGUACUCCGCCUGGGAAGUACGAUCGCAAGAUUAAAA
rnacentral:rRNA from 1 species